CGAACACUGAUCGGUAGGAGUGACGGCUCUAAACUGGCAUCAGCUUGACUUUUCCAUUCUCAGUCCAUUGUGAUGUUAUUCCAGGAUGCAGCAGACAGCAUACCUCCAUCUCUUGGUUGAUCUUCCUGAAUGGCUGGAGUGCAAAUCUUCUCCACAGUCAGCUGGAGGCAUUUACCAGAGGGGUGAAAGAUAGAAACCAGCUCAUAGGAAAAUAUUCGACAGUGCCCUGUACAUAAUGCAUUGUUUUGGUUUUGUCUCAAGGAACAGAAGAACAGGGCAUGCUGCUAAGUUCCAGCCACAGAACAGAAGAGUGCAAUCCUUUUAUAAAUGCCUUCCAGGCAUCAGACGUUCUGGAGAAGUCUGGGAGUCAGCAGUGAUUCUGACCUAAGAUUCCCAGGCACCACAGCACCCCAGUGAUAUGUAGACUGCAGGCCAUGUUUUGGACUCCUCCAUUCCCAGAAGAGGACACCAAACUUCCUGCUCCAAUAAAAAAAAACUGAGAACAACA
rnacentral:sRNA from 1 species